GACGAACGCUGGCGGCGUGCCUAAUACAUGCAAGUAGAACGCAGUUGCGAACGGGUGAGUAACGCGUAGGUAACUGCCUCAUAGCGGGGGGUAACUAUUGGAAACGAUAGCUAAUACCGCAUUCUGUGAGAUGGACCUGCGUUGUAUUAGGUAGUUGGUGAGGUAAAGGGCCACCAAGGCGACGAUACAUUGCCGGCCUGAGAGGGUGGUCGGCCAAAAUGGGGCUGAGGACAGGCCCAGACUCCUACGGGAGGGCGGCGUAGGGAAUCUUCGGCAAUGGGCGGAAGUCUGACCGAGCAACGCCGCGGGAGAUGAGGAGGGCUUCGGGUCGUUAAGCUCUGUUGUGAGGGAAGCGGUACCGAACGAGAAAGGGACGGCUAACUACGUGCCAGCAGCCGCGGUAAUAC
rnacentral:rRNA from 1 species